CCUACGGGUGGCAGCAGUGAGGAAUAUUGGUCAAUGGGAGAGAUCCUGAACCAGCCAAGCCGCGUGAGGGAAGACGGCCCUAUGGGUUGUAAACCUCUUUUGUCGGAGAACAAAACCCGGGACGUGUCCCGGACUGCGUGUAUCCGAAGAAAAAGCAUCGGCUAACUCCGUGCCAGCAGCCGCGGUAAUACGGAGGAUGCGAGCGUUAUCCGGCUUUAUUGGGUUUAAAGGGUGCGUGGGCGGUCAGUUAAGUCUGUGGUAAACUUGGGGGGCUAAACCGCAUCGAGCCGUUGAAACUGGCAGACGUGAGUUCGCGAGAGGUACGCGGAAUGAGGGGUGGAGCGGUGAAAGGCAUAGAUAUCGCGCAGAACUCCGAUUGCGAAGGCAGCGGACCGGCGGCAGACUGACGCUGAGGCACGAAAGCGUGGGGAUCGAACAGGAUUAGAUACCCCAGUAGUC
rnacentral:rRNA from 1 species